rnacentral:rRNA from 1 species
GACGAACGCUGGCUGCGUGCUUAACACAUGCAAGUCGAACGCUGAAGCCUGAAUGCUUGCAUUCGGGUGGAUGAGUGGCGAACGGGUGAGUAACACGUGAGUAACCUGCCGCUGACUUCGGGAUAAGCCCGGGAAACUGGGUCUAAUACCGGAUACGAGCGUUCCUCGCAUGAGGGAUGCUGGAAAGUUUUUUCGGUUGGGGAUGGGCUCGCGGCCUAUCAGCUAGAUGGUGGGGUAAUGGCCCACCAUGGCGACGACGGGUAGCCGGCCUGAGAGGGCGACCGGCCACACUGGGACUGAGACACGGCCCAGACUCCUACGGGAGGCAGCAGUGGGGAAUAUUGCACAAUGGGGGAAACCCUGAUGCAGCGACGCAGCGUGCGGGAUGACGGCCUUCGGGUUGUAAACCGCUUUCAGCAGGGAAGAAGCCCCCUCGGGGGUGACGGUACCUGCAGAAGAAGUACCGGCUAACUACGUGCCAGCAGCCGCGGUAAUACGUAGGGUACGAGCGUUGUCCGGAAUUAUUGGGCGUAAAGAGCUCGUAGGUGGUUGGUCACGUCUGCUGUGGAAACGCAACGCUUAACGUUGCGCGUGCAGUGGGUACGGGCUGACUAGAGUACAGUAGGGGAGUCUGGAAUUCCUGGUGUAGCGGUGAAAUGCGCAGAUAUCAGGAGGAACACCGGUGGCGAAGGCGGGACUCUGGGCUGUAACUGACACUGAGGAGCGAAAGCAUGGGGAGCGAACAGGAUUAGAUACCCUGGUAGUCCAUGCCGUAAACGUUGGGCACUAGGUGUGGGGGACAUUCCACGUUCUCCGCGCCGUAGCUAACGCAUUAAGUGCCCCGCCUGGGGAGUACGGUCGCAAGGCUAAAACUCAAAGGAAUUGACGGGGGCCCGCACAAGCGGCGGAGCAUGCGGAUUAAUUCGAUGCAACGCGAAGAACCUUACCAAGGCUUGACAUACACCAGACUGGGCUGGAAACAGUUCUUCCCCUUUGGGGUUGGUGUACAGGUGGUGCAUGGUUGUCGUCAGCUCGUGUCGUGAGAUGUUGGGUUAAGUCCCGCAACGAGCGCAACCCUCGUUCUAUGUUGCCAGCAUGUGAUGGUGGGAACUCAUAGGAGACUGCCGGGGUCAACUCGGAGGAAGGUGGGGAUGACGUCAAAUCAUCAUGCCCUUUAUGUCUUGGGCUUCACGCAUGCUACAAUGGCUGGUACAGAGAGAUGCGAGACCGCGAGGUUUUAGCGAAUCCCUUAAAGCCAGUCUCAGUUCGGAUCGUAGUCUGCAAUUCGACUACGUGAAGUCGGAGUCGCUAGUAAUCGCAGAUCAGCAACGCUGCGGUGAAUACGUUCCCGGGCCU